rnacentral:rRNA from 1 species
GUCUACGGCCACGCCCUCCUGAACAAGCCCGAUCCCGUCUGACCUCAGAAGCUAAGCAGGGUCGGGCCUGGUUAGUACUUGGAUGGGAGACCACCUAGGAAGACCAGGUGCUGUAGGCG